GAUCAUGGCUCAGGAUGAACGCUAGCUACAGGCUUAACACAUGCAAGUCGAGGGGCAGCAUGGUCUUAGCUUGCUAAGGCCGAUGGCGACCGGCGCACGGGUGAGUAACGCGUAUCCAACCUGCCGUCUACUCUUGGCCAGCCUUCUGAAAGGAAGAUUAAUCCAGGAUGGGAUCAUGAGUUCACAUGUCCGCAUGAUUAAAGGUAUUUUCCGGUAGACGAUGGGGA
rnacentral:rRNA from 1 species